rnacentral:misc_RNA from 1 species
GCCCCCUCCCUUCCCACUUUCAACGCAUUUUGUUCAUUCAUGCUCUAUCAACAAUAAAAGUCAAGCCUGCGCAUGAUUUCCACUUUCUACAAAAACUUAUACCUUUCUUUUGAAGUGUUGCAGGAUUCCACUGCAAGAGGCGAGGGUUAUCAUGUAGCUGAAUUGCAUUGCAAAAAAAAAAAAAAAAAAAGAACACUGCCACACACUACACAUCCCUAAUGCUUUAAAAGAUUUUGAAAAUAAUUCUGGAAAAUUGAUCGACAUCAUUCCAUUGGAGAAGGACCCUCUUCUGCUUUUACGUCAUCCUGUACACUGGCUAACAUGAUGGCCAUCAGCAUUAGCUUCCCUGCAUCUGGAAAAUCCUUGUGCUGCAUCAAAAUUGCUUCUACAGAAAAAUCCAAAUCCUUCCUCAAUGGCAACACUACUUCAAAGCCUUCUUCUAUAGUUUCUGCUUGAGGUCCGUAACACCUACUUGAUGCCUGGAAAAGCACAGUGUCUUUCAGUUGCUGCAGGGUUUCCUCGUCACUCCACCCUUCAUCUAUAGAUGCUUGAUGAAGUUUUCCCCAAUCAUCCUGAUCAGCAGCAUUCUUCCAACACUCCUCCAGAAGGUUUCUAUGGCUUCCACGAAAUGAGGAGCUGGUCCAUGCGAACACAUCAAAAGCUAGCAGUGAUAGUUCUGGG